GCACCCUUGGUCUAAAGGUCAGGACGCCGCCCUUUCAAGGUGGAGUUGCUCGGUUCAAGUCCGGCAGGGUGUG
rnacentral:tRNA from 1 species